UACAGAGGGUGCAAGCGUUAAUCGGAAUUACUGGGCGUAAAGGGUGCGUAGGUGGUUUGAUAAGUUAGGUGUGAAAGCCCCGGGCUUAACCUGGGAAUUGCGCCUAAUACUGUCGAACUUGAGUACUGUAGAGGAAGGUGGAAUUUCCGGUGUAGCGGUGAAAUGCGUAGAUAUCGGAAGGAACAUCUGUGGCGAAGGCGACCUUCUGGACAGAUACUGACACUGAGGCACGAAAGCGUGGGGAGCAAACAGG
rnacentral:rRNA from 1 species